AACUAAUUAGUCUAAAAGAAGACAUGUACUUUGAAAGUACAAAAUAAUUAAAAAUUAUUAGUUU
rnacentral:tRNA from 1 species